AACAGAGCGCACGCUGACGGCUGGAAUCACCCCUGAGAAGUCAUCGCUGAUGGAAGGAGGCCUCCACCACCACUGGCUGCCCCUACCUCCACGGUGUUUUUCAUUCCCUACCUCCGUCACUAUUUGCGGUGUUUUGACCACCCUGAUACCCCCACCACGCCCCCUCCCUCCACGGUGAGGCAAAGCAUCGGCCUCAGUAUGUGCUGCUUGUGGACUAUCAUGGCACACGGACGCGCUGUCAGUCUCACCUAUGGUUUCACCAGACGACUGAACUUCAUGUCAGAGGAUGAAUAUUCCCCUGUUCCUCCCAGCAUUAAACAGGACGUUCAGGGGACUUGAGGACAUCACUGAAGUAAAAACUACUUCCUGUUCAAAGGCGAGGCUCAGCAGAUCCAAAGGAGCUUGGUGCCUCAGUUGAUAGACCGAGAACCCGUCCUCAGUUUUCUGUCCUGGACAGCAGCAGGCUGGACUCAAAGUCUCAGCCCUUUGAUGAACGUCUACCCCACUCUCUCUCUUUAGCUGUCAUAUAAAUAGAAGCAAAAAGGCCAAAAAGAUCAUCUCUGAAAGGAAAAUCAUCCGUCUUCAGCUCUUUAAAGAUAAAUGAAUGUGAAAAGCUUCCACAGCAUGCAUAUAAAAAGCUGGAAGUGUUUUCAGCACAGACAGCAUGGACUUAAUGAUCCAAAUAGUCGUCUUAAUCCAUUUAAAAUUGAACUGAUUUAUGUCCUUAAUCAUUGCAGCACUGGUCAUUAGACUAAAAAGCAGCAAUUAUGACCAUUCAAUGAUGAAUCCGUGACCUCUGUGACCUCUUACAGCUGUCCCUACACAGUUCGUGCUCUACAUACAGUUUAUAUACUAUGAUGUCAGACACAACUGAGCUCCAUGACCUUUAAUCCUGUUGCUUUGACAUCUGCCAGUCUGCAGCACAUCUGUCUACAUCUCUGCGACCCAGUCAGCGUGACAUUUCCUCUGGUUCAGAGAGGACUGUGGGUCAGAGAAGCAAAGAAAAUGUGUGUGUGGUAGAGAGGAGACCAAGAACCUGAUGGUCACUCUG